CACGUAGGGGGCAAGCGUUGUCCGGAUUUAUUGGGCGUAAAGAGCUCGUAGGCGGUUCGGUAAGUUGGGUGUGAAACCUCCAGGCUCAACCUGGGAACUGCGCUCGAAACUGUAGGUCUUGAGUGUCGGAGAGGAUGGCGGAAUUCCUGGUGUAGAGGUGAAAUUCGUAGAUAUCAGGAGGAACACCGGUGGCGAAGGCGGGUCUCUGGGCCGUAACUGACGCUGAGGAGCGAAAGCGUGGGGAGCGAACAGG
rnacentral:rRNA from 1 species